CUGCUCAGUGCUCACAUACUUGUCUUCAGAUGGGAAAGACGACAGGCCUUUACAGAUAUGAGUGCAAAAGAACCUGUUGGAAAAGGAGCCCAUGCAAAUAAGCAGCCCACUCAGGAACCUGGAACACAUCUAAGCCCAAACGAGGCACACACUCCCAUGAGUCUCCUCAAAUCUUUUCUUUUUUUUUUUUGAUGUCCUUCAGAGCACAUAAACAAAAUAUGAACACUUUGGAA